ensembl:snRNA U6 U6 spliceosomal RNA
GUGCUUGUUUCUGCAGCAUACAUACACAAACUGGAUCCAUGCAGAGAUUAGCAUGAGCCUUGCCAAGAUGACACAUGAAUUUGUGAAACAUUCCAUCCUUUU